rnacentral:rRNA from 1 species
UACGUAGGGUCCGAGCGUUGUCCGGAAUUAUUGGGCGUAAAGGGCUCGUAGGCGGUCUGUUGCGUCGGGAGUGAAAACUUACAGCUUAACUGUGAGCGUGCUUCCGAUACGGGCAGACUUGAGGUAUUCAGGGGAGAACGGAAUUCCUGGUGUAGCGGUGAAAUGCGCAGAUAUCAGGAGGAACACCGGUGGCGAAGGCGGCUUCCUGGACCGACACUGACGCUGAGGCGCGAAAGCUAGGGGAGCAAACGGG